AUAAAAUUUAUUAUCUUUAAGAAAAAAAAAGUAUAUCUUGAUUCUAAAUAUACAACGUGUACAACGAAACAUUUUUUUUGAGCAUAAAGCUAUGAAAAAAAAUAUUUGUCAGAGAAAUUUUUAAAAAAGUUAAAUUAAAAACGCAGUGAACUGAAACAUCUAAGUAGCUGUAGGAAAAGAAAUCAACCGAGAUUUCGGAAGUAGUGGCGAGCGAACCCGAAAAAGCCCAAAAAAUUCCAUUGUCAAAAUAUAGGGUUGAAAUCCCGUUUUAGGAAUUAUUAUUUGUGAGUACUGCGAGGCAUGUGUAACCUUGUAGGAAUAUUAGAAAACCACUUCUAAAGGCUAAAUAUUGUUUAGAAAUCGAUAGUGAAAAAGUACUGUGAAGGAACGAUGAAAAGAUUAUCUAGGUUGAGUGAAAAGAUCUUACAAUUUUUUUUCGAUAAGUAAUCAAAGUUUUUAUAAAAAAUAAUGAUGUACCUUUUGCAUCAUGGGCCAACAAGUUAAAACAUAUAGCAAGCUUAAUUAUAAAAGUAGGCGUAGAGAAAUCGAGUUCGAAAGAAUGUUUAAGUUAUUUGUUUUAGACCCGAAACCAAGUGAUCUAACUAUGAGCAGGUUGAAGUUUUUUGAAAGAAAAAUGGAAGGCCGAACCCGUAUCUGUGGCAAAAGAUUGGGAUGACUUGUAGUUAGGGGUGAAAGGCCAAUCAAACUUGGAGAUAGCUGGUUUUCCGCGAAAUCUAUUUAAGUAGAGCGUCUUUGAAUUUUCGAUAUCUGGGGUAGAGCUCUCGAUGGGUGCGGGGGGCUUCGGCUUUACCAAGCUCACUGAAACUACGAAUACGGAAUAUUUGAACAAAGGCAGACAGACUUUGGGUGCGAAGAUCCUAAGUCAAGAGGGAAACAGCCCUGAAUGCAUAAUAAGGUCUCUAAUUUCUAUUGAGUGAUAAAGGCUAAAAAACUCGAGGAUAAUCAAAAGGUAAGCUUGGAAGCAGCUAUCCUUGAAAGAAGGCGUAAUAGCCCAUUGAGUAAGAGUUUUUUAUCCGAUAAUGUAUUGAGACUAUAUAGAAAACCGAAUUAGCAUAUUAUAUAAUAUAAUGGUAGCGGAAUGAAGUAUAUAUCUAAACAGUUAAAUUGAUAAAUUUAAUUAAGAUUUUACUUAUAAGAAUGUUGGCAUGAGUAACAAAAAAUAACGGUCAAAACAUAAUCGUUAUCACCGAAAAUCCUAGGUUUACAUAGAAAAGAACGACUUCUAUGUGUUAAUCGGUCUCUUAGGGUUACGCGAAAGUUAUACCUGAUGAGAAAUUUUUAUUUCUUUUUUUUAUUCGUUUAUAGAUAAAAAAUAUUUAUCAUAAACCAAGAAAUUCAUUAAAAAUAUAUACAAAAAUAAAACCGUACUAAAACUGAUACAAGUGGAUAGGUAGAAUAUACUAAGGUGUUUGGAAUAACUAUGUUGAAGGAACUCGGCAAAUUAGCUUUGUAACUUCGGAAGAAGAAGUGUCUUUUUUAUAAAAAAGAUAACAUUAAAGAAGGGGGAACGACUGUUUAACAAAAACACAGGACUCUGCAAAAUUGAAAGAUGACGUAUAGGGUCUGACACCUGCCCGGUGCUAAUUAGUUAAAAGGAUAUGUGUAAGCAUUGAAUAAAAGCGUUAGUAAACGGCGGCCGUAACUCUGACGGUCCAAAGGUAGCGAAAUUCCUUGUCGGGUAAGUUCCGACCUGCAUGAAUGGUGUAACGAUUCCCCCACUGUCUCCAACAUAGAUCCAGUGAAAUUAAGAUACCUGUGAAGACGCGGGUUACUCGUGGCUAGACGGAAAGACCCCGUGCACCUUUACUGCAUCUUGUUAUUGUUUUAAGAAAAAAAAUAUGUAGAAAUAGGUGGGAGUUUAUACAUACUUGAAAUACCACUAAUUUUUUUUCGAGAAACUAAUCUGUAUAGAGACAGUAAUAGGUUGGUAGUUUGGCUGGGGCGGCCUCCUCCUAAAAAGUAACGGAGGAGUACAAAAGGUAAGCUCAAAUUAUUUAAAAUUAAUUGAGGAGCGCAAUGGUAAAAGCUUGCUUAACUGAAAGAUUUAUAUAUCUAUCAGGAACGAAAGUUGGUCAUAGUGACCCAAUAGUACUUUGUGGAAAGGCUAUUGCUCAACAAAUAAAAGGUACGCCGGGGAUAACAGGCUAAUGACUCCUAAGAGUCCUUAUCGACGGAGUCGUUUGGCACCUCGAUGUCGGCUCAUCACAUCCUGGGGCUGGAGCAGGUCCCAAGGGUUCGGCUGUUCGCCGAUUAAAGUGGUACGCGAGCUGGGUUCAGAACGUCGUGAGACAGUUCGGUCCCUAUCUACCAUGAGUGUAAGAAAAUUGAGAGACUCCGACCUUAGUACGAGAGGACCGGGAAGGGCUAACCUCUGGUGGAUCAGUUGUUGAAAGGCAUUGCUGAAAAGCUAAGUUAGUAAUGAAUAAUUAUUGAAUUCAUAUAAAUAAGAAGUCAAUCUCAAAAAAAAUUUUCUUUUAAAGUUCGUGAAAGACUAUCACGUGGAUAGGCCUAGGGUGUAAGUUGUGUAAACAAUUUAGCUAAAGGUACUAAUGAAACUGUAAUAAUAAAUUUUAU
rnacentral:rRNA from 1 species